UACACUACCAAAGAAUGAUACUACAAAAGUUCUCCACAUUUCGUACAGCAGUUUUUUGAUAAUUUGACUCGAAAAAGCGAACUAUUUGUCCAUUGUGGACGUUCAAAAACGUACCGCGCCUACGUUAAAAAACUCCGCCGCGUAUGACGCAUCGUACCACGUGACGUGAACUGUCCAAUUAGACACCAGAUAUGAGGUCGCAGGUCAUGACAUUUAACAAACAUGGCGGCGUCCAUUGGCAAAAGUGCGUCAACGUAAACAUCGACCGGUGCAAAAAAGAAGUGUUUGCACUCAUAACCUGUCACGUUUGAGGGGGGAAAUGCGAAGGAUCUGAUGUCCGGUGAUAGUAAGUUCAUUUCCUGUGCCAAAGAGUGGCUGAAUUUCACAAUGGCAUCGCCGAAUAUACCCACGAUGUGUGGGCAGUGGAUCUGGCGCAUGUAAACAAGGCAGUCCGGCCGGCCGAUCUCACCCAUGGCGGUUUUUAUAGAUAGUAAACGUCUCUGUGCUGCAAGAAAACGCAAAUCAGACACUUCAGCUGAGACCCAGAUUUCUUCACUGAAAAAGCUCCCGGCAAAGUUCAAGUUUCUUUUAGUUGCCUAUCUACAUAACCAGAUAACUGUGUCAUGCUGCACACAAACUCAACCAGGAUUUUGAUUUCGAUGAAAACCUCAAUUCAAGGACAAGCUGCAACAGUACAACAAGCAGAACUUCCGUUCGAGGCCUAAAGGAUGAACGUCAGGAAAAGGGAGAUGUUCUGCAACUGACUGUUCAACCCCGAUCAACAACUUAGUUUAAUGAGAAUGUCCCAGUUUGCUGAACUGUUGGAAUCAUGAAAUGAUUUAAAAGCCGAAGGAACUGGCCUUGGAUCUUUAUAUCGAACUGAUUAGUUGACAUAUCGGCUUAGAAGAGAAUAUCCAAAGGUCUCUUUCCUUGAUAUAUGCGACAUCAUCUACACCGCUACUUUAUCUGCUGGAGGUGUGGUUGAAUCUCUGGGGACUUCAGAGGAGGAUUCAAAACUGAAAUUUUGGCUUAGAAAGCAAGACAUACGCUCCAUCCUGUUGUUAUGCCGUUACUGCACAACAUUUGAUGAGAACUUUGAUGUAGUGAUAACAUUUACUUGAAGUUGUAUCAGCACGACUAGUUAGCAUUUGACAUUAUAAUGAAAAUAAUGAGUAACUCUAGAUUUCAAAACUACAUAAUUGUAUCCUUCUGUUCAUUAGUGUUGGUUUCAUUCAUUUUAAUUCUUCUCAAUUAUUAAAAAUAAGUUCCAGUAGAAAGGCAAAGUCUGUGAGUUUUAACAGUGAGACUAGCCACAUAUGACAAGCCAAAUCACUCUCUUUAAUGUGUAAGCAUACAAAAUAGCAUGAGUUAUGGUUUUGUUUUCUUUUUUAUUGAUAUACAUGCAAACAUUUUUCGGUGCUAAUCAAUGUAUCAAUAAAUAAAAAGCUGAAAUUUUCUUUGACAAAAGACUGAUCUUAAGGCUUUUCUCCAAACCAAGAUGGCUGUUUUGAUUAGAUAGCAAAUAAAUGUACAAUGGUUGAUUUUUGAAAUUAUUAAA